GACGAACGCUGGCGGCGUGCUUAACACAUGCAAGUCGAACGGAAAGGCCCUGCUUUUGUGGGGUGCUCGAGUGGCGAACGGGUGAGUAACACGUGAGUAACCUGCCCUUGACUUUGGGAUAACUUCAGGAAACUGGGGCUAAUACCGGAUAGGAGCUCCUGCUGCAUGGUGGGGGUUGGAAAGUUUCGGCGGUUGGGGAUGGACUCGCGGCUUAUCAGCUUGUUGGUGGGGUAGUGGCUUACCAAGGCUUUGACGGGUAGCCGGCCUGAGAGGGUGGCCGGCCACAUUGGGACUGAGAUACGGCCCAGACGCCUACGGGAGGCAGCAGUGGGGAAUAUUGCACAAUGGGCGGAAGCCUGAUGCAGCAACGCCGCGUGCGGGAUGACGGCCUUCGGGUUGUAAACCGCUUUCGCCUGUGACGAAGCGUGAGUGACGGUAAUGGGUAAAGAAGCACCGGCUAACUACGU
rnacentral:rRNA from 1 species